GACGGUGCCUUCUGCCUGUGCUAGUACUAUGUGUUUAUAGGAGCGAUGUUAUAAGGUGACAGUUGCCAGUUCAGCUCCACCCCUUGAUCUGUUCACCAGAGAUUAUGAAGCCUGGAAAGACAAAGUGAGCAAAUGCAGGAAGGAGCAUAUUAAUUGGUCUUUAAAAGGUGCUUAAGAGUGUGUCCUUGAAGGAGGAAUUACCUGUGUUCAUCAUCACCCCUCCACACCUCAAUAGGAAGAGGACUGAGAGCUGGGAGCCUUCCCUCACCUGCUGCACAGAUAAGGCUUUCUUCAGCAUUCCACAAACCUCCCUUUAACCUGAAGAGCCUUUCAGUGUUUGGAUGGUAAAUGGCAUCAAAGAUCACCACCCACUGCUCAUAAGACCUUCUUCCAUGGAGAAAGCAUGACGUGAAGCACGGGUCACCAGUUGUAACUUCAGGGUUCACAGAUUCUGUCCCAGGUGAAAGGUGAGGCUGCCGAGAUCCAAAUGCAGACCAGAGAAGGCUGCAGAAUGAAGCUCAGGCAGUUUUCUGUUGUGUUACAGAGCUAUAGUCUUUUAAUGCUAAUCAGGUAGUAGUUCGAUGAAAACUCUUCUUGUUUUGAUGUGAAGAGCACAGAUCCUAUCUCCCACAAAUUGCUGUUGUGAUGACUCUCUUUAAAAGGAAAGGCAUCACCUGGAGCAAUGUAAUCACCAAAGGAAGAAAAGUGCCAAGUCAUCUGAAGCCUUGUCUCUACUGAUUGCAAUCAUAUUUUAUUCUCAAGUAAAGACAAGCUGCUGUGGCAGUGGAACUAGGAAGCAGUGGCUGUUCAGCAUCUGUCUAUUGUGGAUAUGGGACUCCAAGACCGUUUUCAAGGCAGCCCCAGUACACAGAUGCUCCCCACUGGAGAUAGUUUCAGCAGGCACACCUAGAGCUAUGGGAACUGGUUGACUCCCUCGCUCCAUCUAUCCAGCCAGCCAGUCAGCCAGCUGAGGAGGCCAGGAGCAAUGGGAGGACACCAGGGGCCUUCCCUGCAUCUUCUACAAGAGCAUGAGGUUGUCAGAGUUGUCAUUUUACUCCUUCCUUCUAAAUUCCCAUUAAUAUGUCUGUGUCACAAAUAAGCCACCCCUGCCGAUGAAAACGUGGGACAGUGUUGCUCACAGAGGUGCACAACUCCUGGUAUCUGACCCACUUAGAAAUGCAACAAGCUCCUGAAGACCCCUACCACCACUUCAGGUGCCUGCAGAAGAUGCCAUCCAGUGGCAGGAAGGUAACAUUACAAGGGCAGGCAAUGAAAUCGGCCUUUGACAACACCAUCCUUGAAAAACUUGUAUCUGGUCGUGACUUAACUACAUAAUCAAAAUACUCAGGAUGUUUGUGGGCUGUGGUGAAGAUUUGAGUGACAUCCAUCUCUAAUUAUGUUAAUUGGGCAGCUUUUUUUUUUCCUCCAGAAACCCUCAGGCUUUUGUUUGCAGGGAAUAAAUAAAGAGGGAUUAGUUACA